UACGUAGGGGGCGAGCGUUGUCCGGAUUACUGGGCGUAAAACGCUUGUAGGCGGCCACGCCAAGUCGGACGUGAAAUCUCCCGGCUUAACUGGGAGGGGUCGUUCGAUACUGGCGGGCUCGAGGCAGGUAGGGGGAAGCGGAAUUCCCGGUGUAGUGGUGGAAUGCGUAGAUAUCGGGAGGAACACCAGUGGCGAAGGCGGCUUCCUGGACCUGUUCUGACGCUGAGGAGCGAAAGCUGGGGGAGCAAACCGGG
rnacentral:rRNA from 1 species